GAUUAACGUUGGCAGUGUGCCUAACACAUGCAAGUCGAGCGAUAUAGCGGCAGACGAGAGAGUAAUAACAAGGAACUUACCCCUUAGCGGAGGAUAGCCCACCGAAAGGUGGGGUAAUCCUGCAUAAUGUCGAGAGACCAAAGCCUUCGGGCACUGAGGGAGAGGCCUUGUUCCUAUCAGCUUGUUGGUAAGGUAAUGGCUUACCAAGGCGAUGACGGGUAGCUGGCCUGAGAGGGUGACCAGCCUCGAUGGGACUGAGACACGGCCCAUACUCCUACGGGAGGCAGCAGUUGGGGAUUUUGCACAAUGGGCGCAAGCCUGAUGCAGCAACACUGCGUGAAGGAUGAAGGUUUUCGGAUUGUAAACUUCUUUGUGUGGGAAUAAUCUUGAAGGUACCACACGAAUAAGCACCGGCUAACUACGUG
rnacentral:rRNA from 1 species